rnacentral:rRNA from 1 species
AUGAAUAUCGCCCUCCUAUCCCGCUGGCUCUGGCGCAUCUCGUGCGGCCAGGGUGGUCUCUGGCUCGAUAUCAUCCGGAACAAGUACCUACGUGGACAACCCCUUGCCUUUUGUCAGAGAACUGGUGGCUCGCAGUUCUGGCAGUCGGUCGUCCAGCUUCUCCCGGUCCUUCGCAUCGGGACUUCCAUCUCGGUGGGGUUCGCCAUGAAGACUUUGUUUUGGUUUGACCGAUGGGCCGGAGACUCCCCCUUCGCUGCGCGCUUCCCCGUCCUCUUCUCCAUAGUGGUAGACCCCUUGAUCUUAGUUGAGAGGGCCCUUAUUGACUUAGGGCGCCUUGCUUUCCGGAGGCCCUUUGGUCCCCCGGAGUCCGCUGCUUGGCGUGAGUUACUAGAUUGCGUGGCUCUCCACGAGCCUAUGGGAGACGGUGGGCCGGACCAGAUGAGAUGGCGGCUCGAGCCUUCGGGCCAAUUCUCCACUAAGUCUCUCUACCAUGCCAUCGCCCCCUCCUCCGCCUCCCCCCUUGCGACGGUGUGGUCCAUCCGCUUGCCUCUGAAAAUCCGGAUCUUCAUGUGGCAGUGGAUUCGCGGGCGGCUUCCGUCGGGUGUUGAGGUCCGCAAGCGUAAUGUCCCGGGCUCUGGCCUUUGCCCGCUUUGCGCCACCCCCGAAGACUCGAACCACAUCUUCUUUUCCUGUGUGUCCGCGCAAUUCGUGUGGAGUUGCUUCCGCGAGGUGGUGGGUGGAAAUUGGUGCCACACCAACUUCCCCGACCUGUAUACGGAGCUCCAGUCCUCCCCCUUGGCAUCUCGCCACAUUAGGUGGCUUGAGAUUGGGGUCAUCGCUUGGACCCUCUGGACAAUCCGUAAUAAGCUUGUGAUCCAGCGCGCUCCUCUUCGACGGGCUACUGGCACUAUCUUCAAACUGUCUGGUUUCUUGCAGCUUUGGCGGCCGCUUACCGCCCUGAUGACCGUGACGCCAUAUCUGCUUUCAUCGCCGACCUUCGCUCGAUGGCCGUCUGUCUGUCCAUUGCUUAAUCAAUUUCCACCCACCACCUCGCGGGAUGGAUAUGUAGCAGUGCGGGAUGAUCUGGAUCCAUUGCUUAAUUAUGUUGUCAACAUUAGCAGGGAUGACCCCGUCAUCGUGGAGCAGGUAUAUAUCUAUACUUAUCUACAAUAA